GGAGCCGUAGCGAAAGCGAGUUUUAACUGAGCGUUCAGUUACUUGACGUAGACCCGAAACCGGGCGACCUACCCAUGAGCAGGAUGAAGCGAAAGUAAAAUUUCGUGGAGGUCCGAACCCACGAGCGUUGAAAAGCUCGGGGAUGACUUGUGGGUAGCGGUGAAAUUCCAAUCGAGCCCGGAGAUAGCUGGUUCUCCCCGAAAUAGCUUUAGGGCUAGCCUCAAGGUGAGAGAUACGGAGGUAGAGCACUGAAUGUCCUAGGGGGUAUUGCACCUACCGAAGACUAUCAAACUCCGAAUGCCGUCAUCUUAUACUUGGGAGUCAGACUGUGGGUGAUAAGAUUCAUAGUCGAAAGGGCAACAGCCCAGAUCGUCAGCUAAGGUCCCUAAAUGUAAGUUAAGUGGUAAAGGAUGUGGGAUUGCACAGACAACCAGGAUGUUGGCUUAGAAGCAGCCACUCAUUCAAAGAGUGCGUAAUAGCUCACUGGUCGAGUGAUCCUGCGCCGAAGAUUUCCGGGGCUAAAACUUACUACCGAAGCUACGGCAUCAGUAAUGAUGGGUAGGGGAGCUUCCCAUACGGGUUGAAGCAUGACCGUAAGGACAUGUGGACAGUAUGGGAGUGAGAAUGUUGGC
rnacentral:rRNA from 1 species